rnacentral:rRNA from 1 species
GCAACCCUGGCGACGAGUGGCGAACGGGUGAGUAAUACAUCGGAACGUGCCCAGUAGUGGGGGAUAGCUCGGCGAAAGCCGGAUUAAUACCGCAUACGACCUACGGGUGAAAGCGGGGGAUCGCAAGACCUCGCGCUAUUGGAGCGGCCGAUGGCAGAUUAGCUUGUUGGUGGGGUAAAAGCCUACCAAGGCGACGAUCUGUAGCUGGUCUGAGAGGACGACCAGCCACACUGGGACUGAGACACGGCCCAGACUCCUACGGGAGGCAGCAGUGGGGAAUUUUGGACAAUGGGCGCAAGCCUGAUCCAGCAAUGCCGCGUGUGUGAUGAAGGCCUUCGGGUUGUAAAGCACUUUUAGUGGGAACGAAACGGUCCGGGCUAAUACCCUGGACUACUGACGGUACCCGCAGAAUAAGCACCGGCUAACUACGUGCCAGCAGCCGCGGUAAUACGUAGGGUGCAAGCGUUAAUCGGAAUUACUGGGCGUAAAGCGUGCGCAGGCGGUUUUGUAAGACCGAUGUGAAAUCCCCGGGCUCAACCUGGGAACUGCAUUGGUGACUGCAAGGCUUGAGUGUGUCAGAGGGAGGUGGAAUUCCGCGUGUAGCAGUGAAAUGCGUAGAUAUGCGGAGGAACACCGAUGGCGAA